rnacentral:lncRNA from 1 species
CCUGAUUAACCUGAUUAACUCAACAUGAUUUGUUCUUUAAGUUUGUUCACAAUACCAUUCUCUUGAUCUCAGUCUUGACCGAAUGAACUAAAAUACUACAUAUCUUAUCUUUAGAAGAUGAUAAUCAUAAUUAUGUAAACUUUGAUAUAUUAUAAAGAUGAACAAUCCUUUCAUAGAUUAAGCAACUCUAUUCUUUUUGUCUAAUGUUCUCAAAUGCCAUAUUUAUAUUCCUGAUCUUCUCACCUGUGUUAUAAAUGAACAUUGUACACAAUAUCAACCCUACCAUGUCUAAGGUUAGAGAAGAAUAAAUAAAAUUUUUGGUUCUGUUGCGCUUGAUCUCUACCUUGUCUAUAUGAGUAGAACACACUUCAAUAAAAGUGUGAGGAGAAUGAUCCCCUAAUUCUACAAAAGAAAGUUCUCGCAAUGAUGCACGCAAGAUUGUCACUGAUGAUUGGCUUCAAAACAUUGAAUAAAGAGGAAGGAAGGAGGCACUACCCCAAGAAUCUUCAUCCUUACAAGUGAAAUAAGGUAUCGAAUCAGCACUGCAAUGAGCAGUCCUAUCCAAAGAACUAAAAACACCAAACCCUCCUCGUGAGGUAACAUCAGUAGUUAUCCAUAUUUACCUUUUAGCAUUGCAUAAUUUUUAUUUAGCAUAUUUAUCUUUUUGCAUUAGCAUAACCGAUUCUUGUUGCAUAAUUACUUUGCUAUAUCUACAUUAGAAAAGAAAAUAAAAAUAUUUGCUCACUACAUUGUAUCAUAAAUCUUAUGCCCCAUGUAAAUAGUUUUGUGGCAUAAAACCCAUAGGAAUAUUCUGUGGAGGCAUAAAAUAUAAAUAAAUAUUCAUUCAUUUUUUUAUUUUCUCUUGCAUCGUAUCUAUAUCUAUUUAUAAAGAGCCAAAAUUUCAGUCUGCCAAACUUUUAUUCUGCCCGCCAGUGUGGAAUCCGCCAUGAUACGUAGUGGAAGAAGAAAAAAGAAUAAAAAAUUUUCUAGGGUUCCCAAUACAAAACUUUCUAUACACAUAAAAGCAUAUUAAAAAUAAAAAAAAUAUAGGAACCUAAGUGUAAAGUUGUCCCCUUCUCUCCGUCCGAAUCGCCUGGGCAGGCUGGCCGCUCGGCCUCCGUCCAGAAUCGCCCCGGGCAAGCUAAUAGAAGAGUAAAAAAAAGAAUAUACGAUUUUUUAGGGUUCCUAAUGCAAAAUCUUUUAUACACAUUAGGUCAAAAAUAAAAAAAGUAUAGGAAUCUAUAUACAAAGUGUUUGUCCUAUUAGUUUACUAAUUUAUUCUUUAAAUCGGCUGAAAAUUGAUAAAUACGUAGUAAUUUAUAGAAAAAUCAAAAAAUUACAAAACAAAUUUUGUUCAGCUCUACAUAUGUACAUCCAUGC